rnacentral:rRNA from 1 species
CAGCUCUCGGUAGAGAGGAGGUGGCGGCGGCGUCGGCUCUCGGGGAGACAGGAGUUGAUGCGGGAGGUGGCGGCUGGGGGAGGCGGCUACACCGCUGGGGGUGACUCUAGCUACGGCGGCCACGCAGCUCUAGCUGGAGCUGAGGCAGGUGUGCCUAGACCACACGCACCAGUUGCAGCGGAGCGAGGGGUGCCGUGGCGGGUGCCGUGGCGGGAUCCUGACCAGCUGCCGCGGCCACGCAGCUCCAGCUGCAGCGGAACUAGGGGUCGUGCUCUAGGGCGAUGCUUGAGGCCCGGACAACAGAGUUCAAGCGGCACGGUCGGGUGCGGUAGCGCGAGGAAAAGAGGCGCUGGGAGGUGCGCCUGCUCGCACCAGCCCGAGGGGUGGUGCAGAGGAUGGUGUGGCUGCCGCUCGCGCCACGGACGAGGGGUGAUGCGAUUAUGUAGUACCACGAGUCUAGACAGUACCACCUUUGCGCUACGUCUAAAAGGGAGGGAAGGUGGCUUAAUGAUAACCCGAGGUUCAGAAAGAAUAACGACGGAGAAAUAAAACGAAGGUUUAACUACGUCCGCGAUAGUCACUUUCCUAACCCCUGACCAAGAUCGUCACAAUCCUGUUCAUCAGUGAUCGUCGACUCGUUUCCGAUGUUGUACGAGCCUCCUCUUCAAACUUACCUCUGUCUCUCAUGUGAAACAAAUGGUUUCUAUGUGACCAACUACCUCCAUACCCACUAGAUGUUCGAAGACUCCUAAACGUACUAGAUGUUUGAAGACUUCCGAACCUACUGGAUGUUCGACGACUUACAAACGUUCUGGAUGUUAAUUCAACCACCUCACUAAUACAUUACACGGAACAAACAACUUGGACCACUGUAACCGUCCAAGACGAGUAGAACCACCAACAAAACCGUGUAUUCGUCGGUGAUAUACGAGAAAAACCAACCCACUGUGUGGAUCUUUGUAUAUAUGAAGAGAGGAACUCCGUGGUGAAUAUAAAAACAACACUCCGUGUGGAUCUUUGUAUAUACACGAGGAAAACACCGUGUUGGACAUAUACAUACCAACAAUACAAAUAAUUUACUUCAAAUUCCAAAAGCUACUC